rnacentral:sRNA from 2 species
CUUCUCUUUCUUUACUUUCUAUCAGAUAAAUGUCUGCCAUUUGUUUUUAUAGAGACUCAGAUAUCUGCUUUACUGCUUUAUUCACUUCUCUCUUACUCUUCUCUAUCUUAAUUGAUUUCUCUCUGUGUAUGUAUUUUCAUUGUUUUAUUGAUGUGAUGAGUUAGCAUCUGUUAGUAGUUAACUUAUGCAACCAACCCUCUAUCAUGUGCUCACAUGCUCACAUACACUCAUGAAGUUCUCCCACACCUUCUCACAAUUCUGCCCCACAAUUGUGCACAUCUUAAUGUUCUAAUAAUUCUUCCAUUCCAUGCUCCUUCAGAGCACAACCUCUGAUAUUUCUUCCACUUUAAUUCUCUUAUCUAUAAAAAUUCUCUCAUACAACUUCUUUCUCUGAUCUUCUUUCUCUUUCUUUUCUUAAUUAAUUCAUAAACUGUUAUCAGAAUAGUGUUAAGUUCAUUGAUAGUGCUGUUGAAAUGAAUUGUACAAACUGUACAGACAGUACAAAUAAUUUAAUCUGCAACAUCAGUAAUAUCUGCUU